UACAGAGGGCGCGAGCGUUGUCCGGAAUCACUGGGCGUAAAGGGCGCGUAGGUGGCCACCAUAAGGCCGCGGUGAAAGUUUGGGGCUCAACCCCAGAUCGGCCGCGGCGACUGUGGGGCUGGGGCACUGUAGAGGCAGAUGGAAUUCCGGGUGUAGCGGUGAAAUGCGCAGAUAUCAGGAGGAACACCGGUGGCGAAGGCGGGUCUCUGGGCCGAUACUGACGCUGAGGAGCGAAAGCGUGGGGAGCGAACAGG
rnacentral:rRNA from 1 species